CUGAGACAGAGGAAUGGAAGAGCUAGCCUCCCUAGGGUUGUGCUGGAACUGUUUCUGAAGUACUUUUUCUUUUCUCAUUAGUCUUCUGCUUCUACAUCACAAGAAACGAAUACGUUAUAUUCAGUAGUACAGCCUUCCCGGAAGUCUGUAUCUAAGAAGAGGAACCACAGCCCUCCCUUCAACCUCACCAUCUAUGAGGAGUUUGGAAAGAGAUGUUGCAAAGCAAAUGACCCUGCCUGGCUGAACCGCAAAGAGCUGGGUAGCUCUGACCUCUAUUCCUGAUCGCCUCUCUCACACACCAGCAUCUGCUCUGGGGAUCCGCACAAGGGAUGAUGCCACAUGAAUCUCUUGGAAACAGUAUCUAGUCUGGAAAGGAUACAGAAAUUUGCUUACAGUCUAUAUUUUGAUUUGAAAAUGAAUGAUUUCUAACAGGCACUGUAAGAGCAAGGUUGUUACAUAACAUCUCACAAUUUAGAGACAAGAAUGAGUGGAGAGGUUGGAUUGGUCACAUUCUGAGUCUUUAGAAUCUACAAAGUGCUGCAUAAAUGUAGGGAAGGGAUUCCAUUCCCCUGGUUUUCUAACCUGUUAUUUGUUUCCCCACCAUAUUGAUCUGGGAUAACCACAUUUUUGGUCUCCUCACCCCUCCAUGCCUCAGACUCCCCUUCC
rnacentral:lncRNA from 1 species